GACGAACGCUGGCGGCGUGCUUAACACAUGCAAGUCGAACGAUGAACCCGGAGCUUGCUCUGGGGGAUUAGUGGCGAACGGGUGAGUAACACGUGAGUAACCUGCCCUGGACUCUGGGAUAAGCGUUGGAAACGACGUCUAAUACCGGAUAGGACCUUGGAUCGCAUGAUCUGGGGUGGAAAGUUUUUUCGGUCUGGGAUGGACUCGCGGCCUAUCAGCUUGUUGGUGAGGUAAUGGCUCACCAAGGCGUCGACGGGUAGCCGGCCUGAGAGGGUGACCGGCCACACUGGGACUGAGACACGGCCCAGACUCCUACGGGAGGCAGCAGUGGGGAAUAUUGCACAAUGGGCGAAAGCCUGAUGCAGCAACGCCGCGUGCGGGAUGACGGCCUUCGGGUUGUAAACCGCUUUUAGUAGGGAAGAAGGGCUUCGGCUUGACGGUACCUGCAGAAAAAGGACCGGCUAACUAUGUG
rnacentral:rRNA from 1 species